UAUAAAUUCAAACAUUCAAAUGUCAGUAGUUGCGAAGUAAAGAGUGCUGUAAGAAUAUUGAUAAUAUUACAAUUUGUGACUUAUUUAUUUCCUACUGCGCAUAUAAAAGACUGGAAUAAGUGAACAUACAUAAGUGCAGAGGAAUAUGGACGACGAAGUAUCAGUGUUACCGCCAAAGAAAAGGAAACAAAAAGGCCAGACUGUUCACAGACGGGAGCGAUUGAUGAUCGUGAAGUUGUACACACAAGGAUCUCAAGGUCGAGGAUCCCAGAAUAUCAAAAAGGGAGGCAGAUGACAUAUUGUCCAAAUAGACAGGGUUUGGCGUAUUCAGCAUUAAAAAUAUGCAGAUAUAUUGAAUGCAACCUUUGCGACGCUUGGACUAUUUGUUUGCUGGAUUCAAAAGCGAGAGCAAAUGCUCCGCGAGGCGCCAGCAGCUGCUUCAGGGGCCCUGGCAAGAUCCCAAUUUUCAGAUUUUUCGCACGCUCCUAACUGCUGAUACCGACGGAGGUUCACGCACGUGAAAAAUUCGUGUGUUGGUAAACGCAAGAUGAGUUGUCGCUAGUCAGGCGUAUGGAGUGGCCACUUUCGUAUGGAACUCUUGGUAUUCCGUUCAAAGAGACACCAAAAAAGAAUCUGAGGGAAAUACAGGGAGUUGCAGAUGUACCUGCCCAAUUUCGCAUUGCACAUCAACGAGUAAGAUUAAUUUUUCACCGAUCUUACACCGUGUUCAUACAAAGGUAUUGAUACAACAGAGAAAAUAUACAUAUAUGUAGAUCAAUUUACAAAACCACUGUAGGUUUUAGCUUUGUCAACUAGCUCAUUUAUGUGCAGAUUGUAAAACAAAUAUAUUCACUCUGAUAAAGGCCACUCUUCCCACUUUCAUGAAACAAGUAUUUUCUGUUUUGGACACAUUUUUUGAGAAUUGGAGCAUUUGCUUCAGUGUAAAGAAACUGUGCAAGAUCUUUGACAUUUACGUAUCUAUCUACAUUGCAAAUUUCGAUUUCGAAUAUGAAUUACUUACAACAAUGUGUUUAAUUGAAGACAUACAAUAUGCAUGAAUCACAUUUUCAAUAAAAUUUUCCAACUAUUGCCACAAGCUAUUAGACACUUGUGUCGAGUAAAUAAGAAGAGGGACUACAGAUUAUGUAGUACAUACAUAUGUAUGUAUGUACAUAAAACUCGCGAGGUUGAUUAUCAAUCACUUUGUAAUAUGAUGUGGAAUCGGGCAAAUUCUUCAUAAACGGUGUCUCGAGCCAAAUAAUUUGUGUAACUAUAUCUUGGACAUUAGAGGGAUCAUAAUCAAUUGCACCAAGCAUUCAUGUCACAUAGUUUCGUACACUGAAACGUUAUACACAUUUACCGUUCAGCACUUUAGGUAUUUUCUAGUAACGUGAAUUCAGUUACAUUAGUUGCAUUUGUUUGAUUAUUUGUAACAUUCGACUAGAGUACAUAUUGUUUCAGUUACAAAUCAUCGUCAUUACUAAAGUA